UAUCACUCCUUCAGCAGCAGUCCCACAGUGCCUCAUGUGGAUCUUAUCAUCAGUUCAUUCCUUAUCUGGCAGACAAUGUUCUUUAGUUCAAUCUGAUAUCUUUUAUUAAACCAACUCAAAUAGUUGGAAAAAUUCUACUUAACAAGAUUUUGGGCACAAACACCCUUCAUCAGGCUGAGGAAGCAUCUUCAGAUGGCCUGUACGCUUCCUGGAUGGAGUGGCAAAGCAGCCAGAAACCAGCAUGUAUGCAAGAAGCAUGCUCAAGAUUAGAUGCUUCGGAAGGUCCCUGGAACAGACUGACAGAUGUAUUUCUGGAUUUGGAGCAUAAAAGCAAGAGCAAAGAAAACUAGGAUCCCUGCUGAUGAGAGAUUUCAACUUUCUGGACAUCUCCUGGAAAAACAAUACAGUCAAACAAAAUGUCAAGCUAGUUCUUAACCUGUGUGGCGAACCUGUUCCAUAAAGUUGAAGAUGCAACUAUGAGAUCGUAUAUCUCCGAUCUUGUCCUUAC